ACGGUGACUUACAGAAAGGGUGUGGUCGGCUCUCCCUAGGGAUGGGGGAAGCUAACAGUUGGUUACGCUUGGAAAGAAGACAAGGUGAUGAUCAUGAGACUGAAGGCAGUGUUUAUGGACAGAACAGGAGGGCCAGGAAUUCCAGGUGGAGGAGGAAUGUAAGGAGAGAUGGCAAGAGAAACUAGAGGGCCCGCCAGUAAGAAUGAGACCAGAAAUUUGGGGAAGGGGGACAGGAGGAAGCACUGCUGGAGACACCCUGCAAAAAAGGGAGAAUGUUGACAGCCCAAAGAUUCAAAGAUGGGAGGAGAGAGAUCAUGAAGUGAAGUCACUAAUGGGAGAAACCAUCGCAAAAUCCUGGAGACAUGGGGCUUUUCUAGAGAAUUUUGAGGAGGCAACGUCACCCGAAAACUGAAAUGCAUAGUUGAAAUUUAACAAACUGCAACGAAUGAUCCAAGAGAGCAGAAACCAUGGCCAGCUCACACUGAGCAGGGGCAGUCCACCCACACUUAUUCCCAGUGAUUCAGGAAUUUAGGGCGCAGAGCCAAGAACAAAGCAGGACAUUGAAAAGAGCAUGUAGCAAGCACCCCCAAGAUUGGCCUUUCUCCUGUGGAACUCACUCAAUGUUCAGCCACCCCAUAGUCACAAAGACACAGGGAAAAUGAAGUCAGAAAACUAAAAACGUGACAGAGUAGUAGCUGAGGGAAAGGAAAGAAAGCUGAAUCAUGUCACACUGGAAGCGACUGCAAAGGGGAAAACCACGGGCCAAAAUGCCGGAGAGGCCAAUUUCCUCUAUCAGUGUCCACUGAGAAGGGGGAAGGGAGGGAAACGCAGAUUUCCCAGCAG
rnacentral:lncRNA from 1 species